rnacentral:rRNA from 1 species
GCGAAUGCUGACAUAAGUAACGAUAAAGCGGGUGAAAAGCCCGCUCGCCGGAAGACCAAGGGUUCCUGUCCAACGUUAAUCGGGGCAGGGUGAGUCGACCCCUAAGGCGAGGCCGAAAGGCGUAGUCAAUGGGAAACAGGUUAAUAUUCCUGUACUUGGUGUUACUGCGAAGGGGGGACGGAGAAGGCUAUGUUGGCCGGGCGACGGUUGUCCCGGUUUAAGCGUGUAGGCUGGUUUUCCAGGCAAAUCCGGAAA